GGCGGCAGGCCUAACACAUGCAAGUCGAGCGGUAGCACAGGAGAGCUUGCUCUCUGGGUGACGAGCGGCGGACGGGUGAGUAAUGUCUGGGAAACUGCCUGAUGGAGGGGGAUAACUACUGGAAACGGUAGCUAAUACCGCAUAACGUCUUCGGACCAAAGUGGGGGACCUUCGGGCCUCACGCCAUCAGAUGUGCCCAGAUGGGAUUAGCUAGUAGGUGGGGUAAUGGCUCACCUAGGCAACGAUCCCUAGCUGGUCUGAGAGGAUGACCAGCCACACUGGAACUGAGACACGGUCCAGACUCCUACGGGAGGCAGCAGUGGGGAAUAUUGCACAAUGGGCGCAAGCCUGAUGCAGCCAUGCCGCGUGUGUGAAGAAGGCCUUCGGGUUGUAAAGCACUUUCAGCGAGGAGGAAGGGUUCAGUGUUAAUAGCACUGUUCAUUGACGUUACUCGCAGAAGAAGCACCGGCUAACUCCGUG
rnacentral:rRNA from 1 species